rfam:Desulfosporosinus youngiae DSM 17734 chromosome, whole genome shotgun sequence.
UAUAAACCGUUGAAAGGGAAGUAAAACCGCAUGACCAGCCUCACAGAGAGUCGAGUAAGGUGGAAGCUCGACAGGUAACGGAGCGUGUAAAUGGGCCCUAGAGGGUGGUGUGAAAGAGCUUAAGCUUCAGUAGCUGCCAACGCAAAGCCAGCGUUAAAGGGCUAAGGGUGUGUUGGCACUCUGCAUGAGAGGAUGCAUUAGCUUUAUGCAUCAACUAAGGUGGUACCGCAGAUUAACGUCUGUCCUUAUU